rnacentral:rRNA from 1 species
AUUGAACGCUGGCGGCAGGCCUAACACAUGCAAGUCGAGCGGAUGAGUGGAGCUUGCUCCAUGAUUCAGCGGCGGACGGGUGAGUAAUGCCUAGGAAUCUGCCCUGGUAGUGGGGGACAACGUUUCGAAAGGACGCUAAUACCGCAUACGUCCUACGGGAGAAAGCAGGGGACCUUCGGGCCUUGCGUUAUCAGAUGAGCCUAGGUCGGAUUAGCUAGUAGGUGAGGUAAUGGCUCACCUAGGCGACGAUCCGUAACUGGUCUGAGAGGAUGAUCAGUCACACUGGAACUGAGACACGGUCCAGACUCCUACGGGAGGCAGCAGUGGGGAAUAUUGGAC